AGUGAACGCUGGCGGUAGGCCUAACACAUGCAAGUCGAACGGCAGCACAGUAAGAGCUUGCUCUUACGGGUGGCGAGUGGCGGACGGGUGAGGAAUACAUCGGAAUCUACUUUUUCGUGGGGGAUAACGUAGGGAAACUUACGCUAAUACCGCAUACGACCUACGGGUGAAAGCAGGGGAUCUUCGGACCUUGCGCGAUUGAAUGAGCCGAUGUCGGAUUAGCUAGUUGGCGGGGUAAAGGCCCACCAAGGCGACGAUCCGUAGCUGGUCUGAGAGGAUGAUCAGCCACACUGGGACGGAGACACGGUCCAGACUCCUACGGGAGGCAACGGUGGGGAAUAUUGGACAAUGGGCGCAAGCCUGAUCCAGCCAUACCGCGUGGGUGAAGAAGGCCUUCGGGUUGUAAAGCCCUUUUGUUGGGAAAGAAAAGCAGCAGGUUAAUACCCAGCUGUUCUGACGGUACCCAAAGAAUAAGCACCGGCUAACUUCGUG
rnacentral:rRNA from 1 species